UGUGCAAAUAAAUCGUGAAGGGUUUGAACCUGUAGCAGGUUCGAGUUGAGCGCAAGCGAAACAGCGUUGCUUUAGCAACGACCCGAAGGGUGAGGCCAAAGGCCGAAUCAUCCUGCACGCCCCACCA
rnacentral:sRNA from 1 species